AAGGAGGGGUGCUUCUAGGUCACAUCUGUUUCUGCUUCUUAGACCUGUCGGCAGAACUGAUGUGUGCUUUCACACAAUGGAGAAAUAUACUGGGAGGACGAGGUGAAUUAUUUGCUGAGGCAGUUGCUGUUUGCUUAUGCAACACCGGCGGUUUUGGGACUUAUUGGUCUGUGAAUUGGAUAGGAAGGAUCACCAGCCUACUUCAGAAUGAUUUCCUCUCAGCUGUCAAAGCACCGGUCAGCCACUGAAGAGUGGGUUAACUCCCUUAUAAUGUCGAGGUAGAGCAGUGCUAGCUCAGGGCCCAGCUGCUUCCUGUGUCUGCGGAAGAUGGAGCCUCUGCAUCUGAGCUCGAUACCGUCACUCUUCAGAAGAUACUGGCAUUCUUGGUCAUGUGGACUGCAUAUGAGCGAACAUUCCUGCUAAUCGUCGUUAGGUUGAAUGUGUUUGAAGGGCGCAGGUUCAAGGUGGACUGGUGUCCCUGCAUCAGUUCUUCACCCUAUAGGCCCCCCGACUAAUCCGUUUACCAGAGCAGAGGUCAGUUUCUCUCUUGACCCGCCACACUCAACACACAGUUCAGCUCAAUCUUGACUCAUAACUGACGACAGGAAACAAAUCAUGUCUAUGUCUCAUCAAACUUACUUAUAUAUCUACUCUGAAGCCACAUUUUUCACCCAGUAAAAUGCAUACAUAUGGGGAUGAAUACUGUAUAUUUCUUCUACAAAUGAUACUGUAUGUUGAUUUUCAGUGAUCCAGAUCAGGUUUUUAGUCUGUAAAACUAAUAAAGUUAAUUUCAUAAGUAAGGAAAACAUUUUGACUACUUCAUGGGAUGUUAGGCAGCUGAUAUGGAUUUGAGUUUCGCUGCUCCUGCUGGGGACCAGAAAUUACAUGCUGGCACAUUGGAGUUAAUUUCCAAUAGUCUGUGCUUCUGUGCAUAAUCUAAUCCAAAACUUGAAAGCGGAUCACGGCAAAGUUUACCUCUUUCUAAGACCCCGUGUAAGGCGCUCAAAUGUGCUUAUCACGGCAAAUAAGUUUAUUUGUAAAUAACAGUGACACUUUCCCAUGGUGCUUAAGAGCCUGUUCUGUGCAACACUCACCACCCUCAAAAGCAUGUACACACAUUUACACAUGCAGCAUAAAUGCAUAAAUGGAUGGAUAUUGAUGAUUGUCCUGGCAAUACACUCAUUUGUAUUCUGCUUGUUUUACUUAAAGAAAGAUAAUCAGGUUUAUGGUAGCACUCCUGUACAUUUUUCACAUUUAAAAGCAUGUCCCGAAGGCUGCUGCAGUUAAUUGACUCUAUUUAUAUGCAUAACAAAUAUCACUAGGAAAGGGGGAAGCCUUCUGGUUUAAUUUGGCAUAGAAUGCAUGGGGAGUUUUAUACCCCCAUUUAAAAUGAUUUUGCUGGUUGCGGAGAGUAGCACAAUAAAUGUUAAAAGAUGACGCCAUGCCUUUUGGAUUUAACUCAAACAACCUCAAAGUUUCAAAGUCCUAAACACACUGACAUGCAUCCCAUUUAUAUACCUAUAAAGCUAGUCAAUGAAAACAGCUGCUGAAUUGGCAGAAAUAAUUUUUAAUGGGUGUUGGAUAAAACACGUGCACAGUAAAGGGUUGGUGUGCAACCUAAGUCUAAGUAGUAGUGAAAGUGUUAUUUCUCAUCAACUUUACAGCUCUUUUACUAUCCACCAUAUAACUAAUUGCCAAAUCUAAAUUGAGAUGUAGAAUCCAACAUACUCAAAGUACUGUGGUGUAUAAAAACCCUUGUGAAAACUCUUCUCCUGUGACCUACACUGAAGAUGCUGAUGGGAUUUGAUGCCAAGUUGUCACGCUAUUAGACUGAGUGUGUUCCCAGUGUGCACAGACAGAGAAUGUCAUCCUUGUUGAGAAUGGCACUGCAUGGUAUUGGCCCAUGUGGGAAUGCCUUCAUAAUACAACAGUGAAGGCUCUUGUUCAUACUGGCUAUGACUGCAUCCUUGGGAGGCGCUGGUAGUUGUCUGAUAAUGUCAAACUCUGGCUGAAGAGUCCCAUUGCGUAAGCUGGACUGAGUCACUGGCUGACAAUGCGUGAAAUGUACCUUUGUCUAAAAAAAACAAAUAAACAAAAAGGCAAUAAAUUGA